GACGAACGCUGGCGGCGUGCUUAACACAUGCAAGUCGAACGGAGCGAAUGAAAGCUUGCUUUUAUGAGCUUAGUGGCAAACGGGUGAGUAACACGUAGACAACCUGCCGACAGGAUGGGGACAACAUUCCGAAAGGAAUGCUAAUACCGAAUGAAGCGGAGGAGAGGCAUCUCUCCUCCGUGAAAGAUGGCCUCUAUUUAUAAGCUAUCACCUGUCGAUGGGUCUGCGUCUGAUUAGCUAGUUGGUGAGGUAACGGCUCACCAAGGCGACGAUCAGUAGCCGGUCUGAGAGGAUGAACGGCCACAUUGGGACUGAGACACGGCCCAGACUCCUACGGGAGGCAGCAGUGGGGAAUCUUCCGCAAUGGGCGCAAGCCUGACGGAGCAACGCCGCGUGAGUGAAGAAGGUCUUCGGAUCGUAAAGCUCUGUUGAUGGGGACGAACGUGCGAAGGGUGAAUAAUCCUUUGCAAUGACGGUACCUAUCGAGGAAGCCACGGCUACUCUCC
rnacentral:rRNA from 1 species